GACGAACGCUGGCGGCGUGCCUAAUAUAUGCAAGUCGAGCGGAAGUUGGAGAGCUUGCUCUUCAACUUUAGCGGCGGACGGGUGAGUAACACGUGGGCAACCUGCCCUGAAGAUCGGGAUAACUCCGGGAAAGCGGUGCUAAUACCGAAUAGUUUUCGCCACCUCCUAGUGGCGUACGGAAAGACGGUUUCGGCUGUCACUGCAGGAUGGGCCCGCGGCGCAUUAGCUAGUUGGUGGGGUAACGGCCCACCAAGGCGACGAUGCGUAGCCGACCUGAGAGGGUGAUCGGCCACACUGGGACUGAGACACGGCCCAGACUCCUACGGGAGGCAGCAGUAGGGAAUCUUCCGCAAUGGACGAAAGUCUGACGGAGCAACGCCGCGUGAGUGACGAAGGUUUUCGGAUCGUAAAACUCUGUUGUGAGGGAAGAACAAGUACCAACUAACUACUGGUACCUUGACGGUACCUCACCAGAAAGCCACGGCUAACUACGUGCCAGCAGCCGCCGUAAAAC
rnacentral:rRNA from 1 species